AUUGAACGCUGGCGGCAGGCCUAACACAUGCAAGUCGAGCGGUAGCACAGAGAGCUUGCUCUCGGGUGACGAGCGGCGGUCGGGUGAGUAAUGUCUGGGAAACUGCCUGAUGGAGGGGGAUAACUACUGGAAACGGUAGCUAAUACCGCAUAACGUCGCAAGACCAAAGUGGGGGACCUUCGGGCCUCAUGCCAUCAGAUGUGCCCAGAUGGGAUUAGCUAGUAGGUGGGGUAACGGCUCACCUAGGCGACGAUCCCUAGCUGGUCUGAGAGGAUGACCAGCCACACUGGAGCUGAGCAACGGUCCAGACUCCUACGGGAGGCAGCAGUGGGGAAUAUUGCACAAGGGGCGCAAGCCUGAUGCAGCCAUGCCGCGUGUGUGAAGAAGGCCUUCGGGUUGUAAAGCACUUUCAGCGGGGAGGAAGGCGUUAAGGUUAAUAACCUUGGCGAUUGACGUUACCCGCAGAAGAAGCACCGGCUAACUCCGUGCCAGCAGCCGCCGUAA
rnacentral:rRNA from 1 species